GAUGAAGAACGCAGUGAAAUGCGAUAAGUAAUGUGAAUUGCAGAAUUCAGUGAAUCAUCGAGUUUUUGAACGCAUAUUGCGCCCUAUGGUAUUCCGGGGGGCAUGCCUGUUCGAGCGUCAUUAAAUAACCCUCAAGCAUAGCUUGGUGUUGGGCUUUUUUACGUCCUUGACUGGGAUGGGCCUAAAAAUUAGUGGCGAUGGCUUUUUUACUUUCAAGCGUAGUAAAUCUCGUCUUGCUAAAGAGGAAAAAGAUUUUUUUUCUGCCAAAAAUUUUAACAUUUAAAGUUGACCUCGGAUCAGGUAGGAUUACCCGCUGAACUUAAGCAUAUCAAUAAGCGGAGGA
rnacentral:misc_RNA from 1 species